UACGGUGAAUACGUUCCCGGACCUUGCACACACCGCCCGUCAAGCCAUGGAAGCCGGGUGUACCUAAAGUCGGUAACCGCAAGGAGUCGCCUAGGGUAAAACUGGUAACUGGGGCU
rnacentral:rRNA from 1 species